UCCAAAACUUCACUCCCCAGCCUGGUCCUGCCUGGUGUCCUCCAGGAAGCUGGGCUCCCACCAAAGGACUGAUGGGAAAGCCUCAGAGCGGGGCAGUCAUGGGCCCAGGACACACAACAUGUCCAGGGCAGAGCUGGGAAUCCAAACUCAAGUCUUACAAGCUGCCAGACCCCAAAGGGUGCCCACCCUCCCCGCUCAACUACACUGCCCUCCGUCUGCCCAGCAAAUUUCAUUCCUUCUAAAACGGAAGAGCAGCAGGGUGAAUGCUCUGUACUUCCGGACGCCGAGGGGAUGAGGAACUAGAAGGAAUAACUGGGGCCCAGGAAACUGGGAGAGUCCCACCGAGACUGCAAGAGGGAGAGGAGACGGACUCGCCCUCACAGGCCCCCUGCUCUGCCUGCAGAGCUCAGAGCCAUUCUGAUUGACGUACAGGCACUGACACCCAACCUCCAGAAAGCCUGCACGGUCACCUCUCCUUCCCACCUGUGCCAGGUGUGCUGGUUGUCGCUGAGGAAGAAGCCCUCCCGGCAGUGGCACUCGUAGCUGCCCAUCAUGUUGACGC